rnacentral:rRNA from 1 species
GACGAACGCUGGCGGCGUGCUUAACACAUGCAAGUCGAACGAAGUGGCGAACGGGUGAGUAACGCGUAAUCAACCUGCCCUUCAGAGGGGGCCAACAGUUGGAAACGACUGCUAAUACCGCAUACUGAAGGAGGGGCAUGGGUCUGAGUAGGUAGUUGGGUGGGUCACGGCCCACCAAGGGGAUGCUCAGUAGCCGGUUUGAGAGGAUGAACGGCCAACUUGGGACUGAGACACGGCCCAGACUCCUACGGGAGGCAGCAGUGGGGAAUCUUCCGCAAUGGACUAAAGGCUGACGGAGCAACGCCGCGUGAGUGAUGACGGCCUUCGGGUUGGAAAGCUCUGUUAAUCGGGACGCGGUACCGGAAUAGAAAGCCACGGCUAACUACGUGCCAGCAGCCGCGGUAAUAC